UUAUACUCUGCUCCACCUCUUAAGCUAAAACAAAAUGGAUGGGUUGAAAACUUUGCGCUUGGAGCAAGCUAUAUCAGUUUGCCAUGGUGGGCUGGGCAAGCAUUGUUUGGCACUGAGGCUGCAAAAUGGAUAUGCGUUAGUGCUAUAGACGUUACUCAGCUCUCUGUUGCCGGUAUGUAGUAUGACUUCUAUUUCUUGUGCUUGAUCUUAUGAACUAGA